UCGAGAAGCCAAGUGACUUGUCCGCGGCUACGCGGCGAGUGUGUGGCAAGGUGGGAGGGGAGCCCGAGACGCCCUGGUCUCUCCUUUCUCUCGCAGGUUCCUUUCUCCCCGCACGCAGCCCGCAGGGGACGCUGGAGGAGGAGCUGAGCUGGAGUUGCCGGGGCCUCGGGCCGGGGCGUUCCGGGGGCGGUCCCCAGCAGCCGCGCAUUCCAGAGCCAGCAGCGCGUCCCGGCCGCUCCUGCGCGCUCCCGCCUCCCGGGGCUCGGAGGAGCGGGGGCACGUUCCAGGAGCUACCUGGGGCUGAGGUUCCAGGACUGGGGGUCGCUUCCAGCCGCCAGAUCCCGUGCAGUCCUGGGGGCCCUGAGAAGCACCGAGCCAUCCCUGCCUCAGGAACUUUCCGCAGACUCGCCGCCAUCUGGGAGUGAAGCAACAUGGAUGCAGUCAGCCAAGUCCCCAUGGAAGUCGUGCUUCCCAAGCACAUCCUGGAUAUCUGGGUUAUUGUCCUCAUCAUCCUGGCCACCAUUGUCAUCAUGACCUCGUUGUUGCUGUGCCCAGCCACUGCAGUAAUCAUCUAUCGCAUGCGGACUCAUCCGAUCCUCAGUGGGGCUGUUUGAGAGCCUCCCAAGAGGGCCGGGUGAGGGAUGAGGACAGGCAUCCUGUCCCCAGCCUCUUCCUGUCUUCAAAGAAGAAGCAGGAGGGACUUUGGGGCAUGGACCUGAGUUCUGGUUUUGAUUCUGCCACGAGCCAGCUGUGUGAAUUUGGUCAAGGGACCUAACUCUCUGAGUUCCAGGUUCCUUAUCUUUCAAAUGGGGAUGGUGAUCCCUGCCCUUUCUACCUCAUAGGGAUGUGAGAACCACCUGACUUAGUGGAUGUGAAAGCUGUUUGUGAGCAGUAAAGCUACCACAGAUAUAAGGGUGUUAUGCUGAGUGCUGAGAAGCUUUCUAGAACCAAAGAACCUGAUUGCUGAUGAUGGCCUUAAAGGUGGUGAGGGAGAUACUGGGGGCAGAGCAGACUUUGCCAGUGCCCCUCAGGUCAAACCAAGCCAAGAGCACCCUGUCCCCAUUCCAAGGGGCCAGCAGCACUUUGGCCCAAAGUUAUUUUCUUUAAGGUGCCAUUCCUUCAUCUUCCUUCAUGUUUUCUCAGUUUGGAGGAUGAUGGGUAGAGCUUUCCAGAACCUUCUCUAUUCCAGAAUCUCUGCCCCUGUGUAAUCUGAAGGAAGGCUGUGCCAUCUUUGGGCACUGCCAAGGGAGUUGGGGUGAUGGGCUUCUUUCUGCACUGGACCCUCACAUCUGUUAGCUUUGACACUCAAGCAAUGUUGGAAAAUGCAGGGUGACUGAGUUCCCUGCCCAGCUUUCAGGAUCUCUGGCCCCCAUCCCCUUGUGUGUGUCCCUCUGCCCAGCUCCUGCUGUAAUUAGCUCCACGUGUACCCCCUUCACUCCCUCCCACCAGCUCUGCAGCCAGCCUACGGCAAUUAUAUUUUAAGAGGUGUUCCCAGGACUUUUGGGACCUACUAAAACAAUGAUGGUUAUUUUAGAUGUGAUGAUUUAUAUUUAUGUAGAGAUAUUUCUGGACCACUCAAGCUCUUCAGUACCAAAAUCAGGAGCAUCUUGGGAUUUAUUAAAUUAUGUAAGAAGAUAGCACAGAUAUCGGGAUAUUAUUGUGUGAAAGUGCUGCUUUUACUUUGAUGUGAUCGCAUUGAUGUACACAACCAAGUUCCAAUAAAGUGCUAG
ensembl:lncRNA